CCUACGGGCGGCAGCAGUGAGGAAUAUUGGUCAAUGGCCGGAACGCUGAACCAGCCAUGCCGCGUGAAGGUCAGUGCCCUAUGGGCGUUAAACUUCUUUUGUGCGGGAGCAAUAAUGGUCACGUGUGGCAAGACGAGAGUACCGUACGAAUAAGCAUCGGCUAACUUCGUGCCAGCAGCCGCGGUAAUACGGGGGAUGCAAGCGUUAUGCGGAUUUAUUGGGUUGAAAGGGUGCGUAGGCUGUGAGGUAAGUCAUCGGUGAAAUGCCCCCGCUCAACGGGGUGAAGUGCCAUUGAUACUGGGUUGCUGGAAUGCAGAUGCCGUAGGAGGAAUGUGUGGUGUAGCGGUGAAAUGCGUAGAUAUCACACGGAACACCGAUUGCGAAGGCAUCUCACGAAUCCGCGAUUGACGCUGAUGCACGAAAGCGUGGGUAGCAAACAGGAUUAGAUACCCUUGUAGUC
rnacentral:rRNA from 1 species